GCUAUAGGUGUGUCAGGUACGGCGGAGGGGAAACGAGACCGAGCGGUGUCACUUCUAUGACCGCUUAGUUCCUGAUGUGUAUGCGUGUACGACUGCACGUGAAAUGACGGAAUUAGACAUAGCGUGAGGGGAGAGCUGAUCCAAUAGGGAGGGGUAUUUGUGGGAUUCAAGCGGAGGGUGAGCGGUACGUCACGCGCGUCACGAGGUGGUCGUCGGCAGAAAGAAUCCAAAGUGGGCAAGGCAGGUGUCUUCGGCACGACCUCGGACAAGCUUGUGCUUUACUCUUGCCUGUCUGGUGCGAACCACGACGACCGAAUCCACAGCGAAGCAAAGCAGAGCAAUGGCCCGCCAUCACCCAGCCCGUAGCUACUGCGACGGUCACUGAAUGGUCCGGUGCUCGCUAGGGUGAGGGCUUCUCCUCCGGCGAUGAUCCGCUGGAGAGGGGAGUCCGUGAGCGUCCCGCGACUGAUAGAGUUCCUCCGGUCCUCGUUUCAGGGAGGCAUUGCUGAUGGUUGGGAUCAAGAGGGAGUCUCUCGGAGCAGUUGACCGUGAAGGCGGCGGAAAUGAUCGAACUUGAGGCGUCGAGCGGGAUUUGGAGAUUUCGAGAAGCAGGUGUACGGACGUGGAGCAGUGAGUCGAGAAAGGCGAAAGUGAGGGAGGAAGAGGGGGAGGAGGAGGAAACGCGCUCUUUCUUGGAGGCGAGGAUUCGGGAUAUUGAUGGUGGAAAGCUUGGUGCUGAUAAAGAAAUCGAGAAGCGUAGGAGGCGUCGACCUCGAGGAGGAGAUCGCGAUUAAAGGAAGCUUGCAAGGCUACGAACGAGAGGGAACAGAGGGUUCAAUAGAAGGUUGCAGCUUUGCUUGAGCUGCAGAGGAAGCAGGGUAAUGUUGGCAGCUGGAGGAGGCAGUGUAACGUGGUGGAGGCCACGGUCUCAUUACUGGAGGAUAAGAACCAGGAAGAUGAAGAGGGAGGAAGAGAAGGAAAAUGUUAAAGCUUGGGUUGUGCAGCAAGUUGAAGUUGCUUCCAUUGUAACAGGGAAUCCACCUACAAAGGACAAGGGAAGUUCUAUAUUGGGGGAGAGUCAUUGAGAUCAGAAGAAGUGAGGACAAAUCAAAUGCUAAGGAUCACAUCGUGAAGGAGGAAGACGUAAUAGAGGGAGCUUGGAUUACAAGAAUGAAUCAUAUGCUGGAAAGAGUACUAAGUUGGUGUAGGAAGUUGAUAACAGCCAUAUGGAUGGGUUCUUUAAUUUCGACGACUUGUCUGCGGAGUAGUUGGCAGUGACCAUGAGAAUGGUGAUGAUGAUAAUGUUCAGAUUGCCAAACUCAAGGGAAUCACGUAGUGCAGUGAAAGGAAGGUUGUCGUGAGAGUUCACCAACUCUUGGUGGCGAGCAUGACUUCGAGAAACAAGGCAGCAGCAUACGGGAAGCUUGGAUAUCCAGACAGUGAAGAUGAUGAAGGAUCAAGUAAAUGGGAGGGAAGAGGUUGAUGGCAUCAGUCUCACAGAGUGAGGGGUUGAAAGUUUCGGGAUCUACGUGACAAGGCAUAUUUUGGAUUCCAACCACGUCACCACCCGCGGCCCUGCCACAUCAACACGAGGGGGGACUUCCACGUGCCAAGAUAGAAGCCAUGCCGAGGCACCUCUCGGUACACCCCGUCUUGUCUCGGAAAGCUCGGGACGACGCCACCUGGUGUCGUUCCGCACAUUCCGGGACAGCGGCCGCACAAAAGUACCACCUCGCUCCUCGGGGAUCGAUCGUCACGCCAAACCCGCGUACAACCGAUCCUCGCAUAAUAGUAUAAAAGCCUAUGAUCGGCAUCUGGCUGGGGGAGACGGAAGAAAAAAAGAGAAAUCAUUCACUAACUUAGUCAUCGAGGGGCCAAAGUCGGGAACUUCCCAAUGAGGGCCUUCUAUGCAGGAGUGCUGCCGCCCCCAGAAGUGCGACUACCCCGACCGAGAGAUGCCCUCCCUGAAGACGGUGUCAGCGCCCCGAUCAAGAGAACGCCUCCCCCUGACGACGCUAGUGUGCCGACCGAGAGGUGCUUUCCCACAUAUGGCGUUGGCAUCUCGACUUGCGGAUGUAAUCAACCUCGACGCCUCGCCCAACCGAUCGCGUACUCCCGACAUCGAUCCCCAAACCAAACCGUGCUGACACAUCAACCACGGUACACUCGUUCAUCAACACUAUGGUCGCAGAUUUUCUUACAAAUGGUGAUCCCUAUGGCCUACCAAUGAACUCUGCCCAUGAUUUGGAGAAUUAUGAUCCAUAAGUGCUUGAUUACCGAUGUAAGCUUGUUAGUUGAUACACUAAGCAGUUUACAAUCUACCAGACAAACAGGAGCCCUUCUUUCAUCCAUCGAAACUGAUGCUGCGGCUCAGUUGUUUUGCCCCAGCAUCGACCGCAACCUGGUCCGUGCUUCCUUAAGAAAAGCCUUGUUAGUUGGAAAUAAAUGGUUUGUCGUGCGAUAUGCUAUUUCUACUAAUCAGCUAUAGCGGUUUGUCAUAGUGCAGGUGAUCUUAGUUCGAUUGCAGUGACUCUGUGUUCAUGCAAAUGAUCCCGUUUGAUGGUCACUUCCAUCUUUGUAGAUCAUCUCCCGUCAUGAUUUGAUGCUUCAUCAAACUCUAUGGUAAAUGGCUCUGUCCUGUCCUUCUGGAUCCUCUCUGUCCAGAUGAAUCAUGUAGAACACAGACAGACACUUGUGUUUGAGUCGGUAUUUGUUUAGUUGAUGCUCUGUGCAGAUAUCGUUUAGUUACAUGUGUACUCUAGUGGCCCCAAAAUGUGUGCUGGUUACAGAUGGAAUGAUAACAAGGUUAAUUUAGAGAGCUAUCCUUUUUCCGGAACAGAUUCCAUGGACCGAAAGCUUUCAUCUCUGAGAAAGGAGCAGCAGCAUGAGCUCGGUUGGGCGAGGCAUGGCCACGAUGAACCUCAUGGCCGACGGGGAGGGACAGCAGCAUCAGCAACUGAGGGAUGGACGAGGCUGCUUCCAGAUGCCGGUGCGCUACCCUACGUACACCCAAGCCGACUAUGAGGCGAUGCCCGAGUGGA